rnacentral:rRNA from 1 species
UCCGGUUGAUCCUGCCAGAGGUUACUGCUAUCGGUGUUCGCCUAAGCCAUGCGAGUCAUAUGUAGCAAUACAUGGCGUACUGCUCAGUAACACGUGGAUAACCUGCCCUUGGGUCCGGCAUAACCCCGGGAAACUGGGGAUAAUUCCGGAUAACGCACAUAUGCUGGAAUGCUUUAUGCGUAAAAUGGAUUCGUCUGCCCAAGGAUGGGUCUGCGGCCUAUCAGGUAGUAGUGGGUGUAAUGUACCUACUAGCCUACGACGGGUACGGGUUGUGAGAGCAAGAGCCCGGAGAUGGAUUCUGAGACAUGAAUCCAGGCCCUACGGGGCGCAGCAGGCGCGAAAACUUUACAAUGCGGGAAACCGUGAUAAGGGGACACCGAGUGCCAGCGUCAUACGCUGGCUGUCCAGGUGUGUAAAAUACACCUGUUAGCAAGGGCCGGGCAAGACCGGUGCCAGCCGCCGCGGUAACACCGGCGGCCCGAGUGGUGAUCGUGAUUAUUGGGUCUAAAGGGUCCGUAGCCGGUUUGGUCAGUCCUCCGGGAAAUCUGACAGCUCAACUGUUAGGCUUUCGGAGGAUACUGCCAGACUUGGAACCGGGAGAGGUAAGAGGUACUACAGGGGUAGGAGUGAAAUCUUGUAAUCCCUGUGGGACCACCUGUGGCGAAGGCGUCUUACCAGAACGGGUUCGACGGUGAGGGACGAAAGCUGGGGGCACGAACCGGAUUAGAUACCCGGGUAGUCCCAGCCGUAAACGAUGCUCGCUAGGUGUCAGGCAUGGCGCGACCGUGUCUGGUGCCGCAGGGAAGCCGUGAAGCGAGCCACCUGGGAAGUACGGCCGCAAGGCUGAAACUUAAAGGAAUUGGCGGGGGAGCACAACAACGGGUGGAGCCUGCGGUUUAAUUGGAUUCAACGCCGGG